rnacentral:rRNA from 1 species
UACAGAGGUCUCAAGCGUUGUUCGGAUUCAUUGGGCGUAAAGGGUGUGUAGGUGGCGCGCUAAGUCGGGUGUGAAAUCUCGGAGCUUAACUCCGAGACUGCAUUCGAUACUGCCGUGCUUGAGGACUGGAGAGGAGACUGGAAUUUACGGUGUAGCGGUGAAAUGCGUAGAUAUCGUAAGGAAGACCAGUGGCGAAGGCGAGUCUCUGGACAGUUCCUGACGCUGAGGCACGAAGGUCAGGGGAGCAAACGGG